rnacentral:rRNA from 1 species
CCCUUAGAUGUCCUGGGCCGCACGCGCGUUACACUGAUGCAUUCAACGAGCUUAUAACCUUGGCCGAGAGGCCUGGGCAAUCUUGUUAACGUGCAUCGUGAUAGGGAUAGAUUAUUGAAAUUAUUAAUAUUGAACGAGGAAUUCCUAGUAAACGCAGAUCAUCAAUCUGCAUUGAUUACGUCCCUGCCCUUUGUACACACCGCCCGUCGCACCUACCGAUUGGAUGGUCCGGUGAAGCCUCGGGAUUGUGGUUCUUGCCGCUUUAUUGUGGCGUGACCGCGAGAACUUGUCUAAACCUUAUCAUCUAGAGGAAGGUGAAGUCGUAACA